GGAGGAAUGGCAGAGUGGUCGAUUGCGGCAGUCUUGAAAACUGUUGACUGUAACAGGUCCCGGGGUUCGAAUCCCUGUUCCUCCGCCA
rnacentral:tRNA from 1 species